GUCUACAGCCAUGCUACCCUGAACGUGCCCUAUCUCCUCUGAUCUCAGAAGCUAAGCAGAGUUGGGCCUGGUUAGUACUUGAGUGGGAGACCACUUAGGAAUACCAGGUGCUGUAGGCG
rnacentral:rRNA from 1 species